UACGUAGGGUGCGAGCGUUGUCCGGAAUUAUUGGGCGUAAAGGGCUCGUAGGCGGUUUGUCGCGUCGGGAGUGAAAACCCAGGGCUUAACUCUGGGCUUGCUUUCGAUACGGGCAGACUAGAGGCAUGCAGGGGAGAACGGAAUUCCUGGUGUAGCGGUGAAAUGCGCAGAUAUCAGGAGGAACACCGGUGGCGAAGGCGGUUCUCUGGGCAUGUCCUGACGCUGAGGAGCGAAAGUGUGGGGAGCGAACAGG
rnacentral:rRNA from 2 species